GACGAACGCUGGCGGCGUGCUUAACACAUGCAAGUCGAGCGGUAAGGCCCUUUCGGGGUACGACGAGCGGCGAACGGGUAGGAGUAACAACGUGGGUGGACCUCGCCCUCCAGCUCUGGGAGUAAGACCCGGGAACCGUAGGGUCGUAAUACCGGAUAUGACUUCAUGACGCAUGUUGUGGAGUGGAAAGACCUUGUGCGGC
rnacentral:rRNA from 1 species